rnacentral:tRNA from 1 species
GGCACUGUAGCUCAACGGUUUAGAGCAACUGUUUUGUAAUCAGUCGACGAGGGUUCGAUUCCUUCCAGUGCCUC